GAUGAACGCUGGCGGCGUGCCUAAUACAUGCAAGUCGAGCGAACAGACGAGGAGCUUGCUCCUCUGACGUUAGCGGCGGACGGGUGAGUAACACGUGGAUAACCUACCUAUAAGACUGGGAUAACUUCGGGAAACCGGAGCUAAUACCGGAUAAUAUAUUGAACAGCAUGGUUCAAUAGUGAAAGACGGUUUUGCUGUCACUUAUAGAUGGAUCCGCGCCGCAUUAGCUAGUUGGUAAGGUAACGGCUUACCAAGGCAACGAUGCGUAGCCGACCUGAGAGGGUGAUCGGCCACACUGGAACUGAGACACGGUCCAGACUCCUACGGGAGGCAGCAGUAGGGAAUCUUCCGCAAUGGGCGAAAGCCUGACGGAGCAACGCCGCGUGAGUGAUGAAGGUCUUCGGAUCGUAAAACUCUGUUAUUAGGGAAGAACAAAUGUGUAAGUAACUAUGCACGUCUUGACGGUACCGAAGCAGAAAGCCACGGCUAACUACGU
rnacentral:rRNA from 1 species